ACCAGACUCCUACGGGAGGCAGCAGUGGGGAAUAUUGCACAAUGGGGGAAACCCUGAUGCAGCGACGCCGCGUGAGUGAAGAAGUAUUUCGGUAUGUAAAGCUCUAUCAGCAGGAACGAGACAAGACGGUACCUGACUAAGAAGCCCCGGCUAACUACGUGCCAGCAGCCGCGGUAAUACGUAGGGGGCAAGCGUUAUCCGGAAUCACUGGGUGUAAAGGGAGCGUAGACGGCUGUGCAAGCCUGAAGUGAAAGGCGGGGGCCCAACCCCUGGACUGCUUUGGGAACUGUACGGCUGGAGUGCAGGAGAGGUAAGUGGAAUUCCUAGUGUAGCGGUGAAAUGCGUAGAUAUUAGGAGGAACACCAGUGGCGAAGGCGGCUUACUGGACUGUAACUGACGUUGAGGCUCGAAAGCGUGGGGAGCAAACAGGAUUAGAUACCCCAGUAA
rnacentral:rRNA from 1 species